AUUUUGUGUUAAUAAAAUGAGUCUGAAAAUUGGAAUGAUGCAGAGAAGAUUAGCUUGAUCCCUGUGUAAGUAUGACAUACAUUUUUAAGCUUUUCAUAUUGAA